UACGAAGGGGGCUAGCGUUGUUCGGAAUCAUUGGGCGUAAAGCGCGCGUAGGUGGCCCCAUAAGUCCGCUGUGAAAGUCAAAGGCUCAACCUUUGAAAGCCGGUGGAUACUGUGGGACUAGAGUACGGAAGAGGCGAGUGGAAUUCCUGGUGUAGCGGUGAAAUGCGCAGAUAUCAGGAGGAACACCAAUUGCGAAGGCAGCUCGCUGGGACGUGACUGACGCUGAGACGCGAAAGCGUGGGGAGCAAACAGG
rnacentral:rRNA from 1 species